AACGAACGCUGGCGGCGGGCCUCAUACAUGCAAGUCGAGCGCGAAAGUCCGCAAGGAUGAGUAAAGCGGCGCACGGGUGAGUAACACGUGGAUAAUCUACCCUUUGGAUUGGAAUAACCUGUCGAAAGACGGGCUAAUGCCGAGUAAGCUUACGAGUUCGUGAAGUUCUUGUAAGGAGAGAUGGCGCAAGCUAUCGCCGAUGGAUGAGUCUGCGUCCCAUUAGUUAGUUGGUGGGGUAAUGGCUUACCAAGACUAUGAUGGGUACCUGGUCUGAGAGGAUGACCAGGCACACUGGAACUGAAACACGGUCCAGACUCCUACGGGAGGCAGCAGUAGGGAAUAUUGCGCAAUGGACGAAAGUCUGACGCAGCCACGCCGCGUGAGUGAGGAAGGCCUUCGGGUUGUAAAGCUCUGUCAACUGGGAAAAACGGCUAUCCGGGGAAAGUUCGGGUAGCGUGAUGGUACCAGUGGAGGAAGCACCGGCAAACUCUGUG
rnacentral:rRNA from 1 species